CGUGUAGGCGGCCAGGUAGGUCUGCUGUGAAAACUCGGGGCUUAACCUCGAGAUGUCGGCAGAAACCAUCUGGCUAGAGUCCGGAAGAGGAGAAUGGAAUUCCCGGUGUAGCGGUGAAAUGCGCAGAUAUCGGGAAGAACACCCGUGGCGAAGGCGGUUCUCUGGGACGGUACUGACGCUGAGACGCGAAAGCGUGGGGAGCGAACA
rnacentral:rRNA from 1 species